rnacentral:rRNA from 1 species
UACGAAGGGGGCUAGCGUUGUUCGGAAUUACUGGGCGUAAAGCGCACGUAGGCGGACAUUUAAGUCAGGGGUGAAAUCCCAGAGCUCAACUCUGGAACUGCCUUUGAUACUGGGUGUCUAGAGUAUGGAAGAGGUGAGUGGAAUUCCGAGUGUAGAGGUGAAAUUCGUAGAUAUUCGGAGGAACACCAGUGGCGAAGGCGGCCACCUGGACUGCACCUGACGCUGACACGCGAAAGCUAGGGGAGCGAACGGG